rnacentral:rRNA from 1 species
UACGUAGGGUGCGAGCGUUAAUCGGAAUUACUGGGCGUAAAGCGUGCGCAGGCGGUGAUGUAAGACCGAUGUGAAAGCCCCGGGCUUAACCUGGGAAUGGCAGUGGAAACUAGAGAACUUGAAUCUGGCAGAGGGGGGUGGAAUGCCACGUGUAGCAGUGAAUGCGUAGAUAUGUGGCGGAACACCGAUGGCGAAGGCAGCCCCCUGGGCUGAGAUUGACGCUCAGGCACGAAAGCGUGGGGAGCAAACAGG